AUUGAACGCUGGCGGCAUGCUUUACACAUGCAAGUCGGACGGCAGCGGGUAGUGCUUGCACUAUGCCGGCGAGUGGCGAACGGGUGAGUAAUUAUUGGAACGUACCGAGUAAUGGGGGAUAACCAAUCGAAAGAUUGGCUAAUACCGCAUACGCUCUGAGGAGAAAGCAGGGGACCUUCGGGCCUUGCGUUAUGACGGCCAAUAUCUGAUUAGCUAGUUGGUGGGGUAAAGGCCUACCAAGGCGACGAUCAGUAGCGGUCUGAGAGGAUGAUCCGCCACACUGGGACUGAGACACGGCCCAGACUCCUACGGGAGGCAGCAGUGGGGAAUUUUGGACAAUGGGCGCAAGCCUGAUCCAGCCAUCCGCGUGUCUGAAGAAGGCCUUCGGGUUGUAAAGGACUUUUGUUAGGGAAGAAAAAGAACGGUUAAUACCCGUUUCUGCUGACGUACUAAAGAAUAAGCACCGCUAA
rnacentral:rRNA from 1 species